UUUUGUUGACCACGUGACCCCUGUCACUUUCUAGAAUUCUUGUAAAAUGGCGUCGUCCAUAACAAUUCCUCGGCGCUUGCCACUACUUUUGGUAAAAGACAGUGUUCUUUUACCGGGAUCAUCGAUGAGAAUACCCGUGAAGAGCAUGAAAAAUAUGAACAUGGUGAAGAGUCGCCUUCUAAGUAGAAAUACCUUAAGUAGCACCAUCAUUGGAGUCGUCCCCACUCAGAAGCUAGAGGAGGAGGGGGAGGAUCUCUCGGCUCUGCACUCUAUCGGGACGGCAGCAGUAGUGGUCCAGGUGACCGGGACUAACUGGCCGAAGCCUGCCUACACGCUGCUGGUGACUGGACUCUGUCGAUUCAAAAUGCAGGAACUUCUCCAGGAAACUCCAUUCCCAGUGGCCACCGUCACACAACUGGAUAAACUUCCAGAUGACAUGGGUGAGGCAAUAAAGGGAGCUAAUGAGAGUGCUGAAUUAGAGGCCCUGGCAGAGAACUUCAGAGAACAAGCAGCUAAACUUGUGGAUAUGCUUGACAUCUCCAUUCCUGUGGUCGCAAAACUUAAGAAAAUGUUGGAGAAUUUGCCAAGCCAACACUUGCCAGAUAUAUGUGCCGCCAUUGUGAAGGCUUCUUAUUCUGAAAAGAUUCAAGUGCUGGAUGCUGUAGAUUUAACAGAACGAUUCAAAAAGGCACUGCCACUUCUGAUGAGGCAAAUUGAAGGACUACGGUUGUUACAGAAGGCCAGAAAGGACAGAUUUGAGAUUGUGACGAGGAAGGAAGUGGAUUCUCGGCCAGGUAAAAUGAGGAGGGCCUUCAGGAGCAUUAACUCUGAUCUGGACGACGAAGAUGACUCAGAAGCUGACGACUCCAUGGACCUGGAGCAGAAAAUCCGGGCUGCUCACAUGCCAGACCACGCCCACAAAGCAGCCAUGAAGGAACUGAAGAGGAUGAAGAAGAUGCCUCAACAGAUGCCAGAACACGCCCUUAUCAGGAAUUAUUUAGAGCUGAUGGUAGAGCUUCCUUGGUCUAAGAACAGCAAAGAUGCUUUAGAUGUUUUACAAGCCAGGAAAGAUUUGGAUGUGGAUCAUUAUGGUCUUGACAAACUGAAGAAGAGGGUGAUUGAAUAUUUGGCUGUUCGUCAGCUGAAGAAUUCCCUGAAGGGGCCGAUCUUGUGUUUUGUUGGACCCCCAGGGGUGGGAAAAACCAGUGUGGGGAAAUCUAUAGCACAUACACUAGGAAGAGAAUUUCACAGAAUAUCACUUGGGGGAGUUUGUGAUCAGUCUGACAUCAGAGGCCACAGAAGAACAUACAUAGGAUCCAUGCCAGGAAGAAUAAUACAAGGUCUCAGAUUGGUCGGUGUCAACAAUCCUGUGUUCCUAUUGGAUGAAGUGGAUAAGCUGGGUAAAUCUCUUCAUGGAGAUCCAGCGGCAGCUCUGCUAGAAGUUCUGGACCCGGAGCAAAACAACACAUUUACAGAUCACUACCUGAAUGUCCCCUUUGACCUGUCACAAGUCCUAUUUAUAGCGACAGCUAACAACAUGGCGACAAUCCCCCCUGCUCUGUUGGACAGAAUGGAGAUCAUCCAGAUCCCAGGGUACACGCAGGAGGAAAAGGUUACCAUAGCAAUGAGACAUCUAAUGCCUAAGCAGAUCAAGGAAAAUGGCCUCACUCCAGAACAGAUACAAAUUCCAGAGGACACCCUUAAAGUCAUCGUUUCUAAGUACACGCGGGAGGCGGGUGUGAGGACAUUAGAGCGGAGGAUCGGGGCAGUGUGUAGAGCGGUGGCGGUCCGCGUGGCAGAACACAGCUCCAGGGCCAGGCACGAGAAGCUGGAGACCUCCGCAGACAAGAAACAGGUCACCAACUCCAACAUGUCGGAGGCUAUGUCACGGGAUGUGUCCACCCUCGCCCACCCUCCAGAGAUGCCCAUAGUUAUUGACGAGGCUGCUCUAGAGGAUAUUCUAGGGCCCCCAGCAUAUGAAAGUGAAGUUUCCCAGCGACUGGGACAGCCUGGUGUAGCGGUGGGGAUGGCCUGGACUCCUAUGGGAGGAGAAAUCUUGUUUGUAGAGGCCACAGUGAUGGACGGGGAAGGCAAGGUGACCCUAACCGGACAGCUGGGGGACGUGAUGAAGGAGUCCGCAGAACUAGCCAUGAACUGGGUCAGGUCACAUGCCAGAAGGUUGGGGUUAGAGAAGGAAAACCGUUUGCUGGACAAGAAAGAUAUUCACAUCCAUUUCCCAGCUGGAGCAGUGGGCAAAGAUGGGCCAUCAGCAGGAGUUACUAUAGCAACAGUUUUAGUGUCCCUAUUCAGUCGUAAAUGUGUUAGGUCAGAUGUCGCAAUGACAGGGGAAAUAACUCUGAGAGGACUUGUCCUGCCAGUUGGAGGAAUUAAGGAGAAAGUUUUAGCUGCUCAUCGUGCAGGGAUCAGAAGAAUUAUCAUGCCUUAUAGAAAUGAGAAGGACCUUCUAGAGAUACCUACUAAUAUCAGGAAAGAGCUAACA